rnacentral:rRNA from 1 species
GGAUUAGAUACCCCUGUAGUCCACGCCGUCAACGAUGACCUUUCUAUGAAUAUCAAAAGCCGUCAUGAUUCAUGAUUCUUUUGACGUUUGUAUUAGCUAACGCGGUAAAUGGUCCGCCUGAGGAGUACGGUCGCAAGACUAAAACUCAAAGGAAUAGACGGGGGCUCACACAAGUGGUGGAACAUGUGGUUUAAUUCGAAACAACGCGCAAAACCUUACCAGUCCUUGACAUAAUCUUUUCAUAAUCUUUCACUAGAAAAGAUAACUUAAACUUGAGAAUCGAGUUUAAAAUGAAGAUUACAGGUGUUGCAUGGCUGUCGUCAGUUCGUGUUGUGAAAUGUUGGAUUAAUUUCCUUAACGAACGAAACCCCUCUAUUCAUUCACAAAUAGUUUGAAAAAAUUUUUUUCAAUAAAUUGGAAAUGAAUAUACAGCUGGUGAUAAACUAGAGGAAGGGAGGGAUCACGUCAAGUCCUCAUGACCCUUAUGGGCUGGGCUACACACGUGUUACAAUGGUAAGUACAAAGAGCAGCAAUGACGAAAGUCGGAGCAAAUCUCAAAAAACUUGCCCUAGUUCAGAUUGUUCUCUGCAACUCGAGAACAUGAAGCCGGAAUCACUAGUAAUCGUGGAUCAGCACGCCACGGUGAAUAUGUACCUGAGCCUUGUACUCCCCGCCCGUCACGGUCUCAGAGUUGAGUGCAUCAGAAGUAAUGUAUCCUUUUUCAAAAACGUUUUAUCAGAGAUCUUGAAGAUCUCUUUCCACGUUUUGAAAGGCGCAUUCCCAAGAUGUGUUUAGCGAUAGGAUCGAAGUCGUAACAAGGUAGCCGUAGGGGAACCUGCGGCUG